GGCACUUUGGCGGAGUGGUUAACGCGCUGCCCUGCUAUCAUCCAGAGUAUUCUGGGUAAGCUGUUAGGCAGUCCCUUCGGGGGCGCAGGUUCGAAUCCUGCAGGUGUCG